rnacentral:rRNA from 1 species
ACGUAGGGGGCAAGCGUUGUCCGGAAUCAUUGGGCGUAAAGCGCGUGUAGGCGGCUCGAUAAGUCUGCUGUGAAAGUCCAAGGCUCAACCUUGGGAUGCCGGUGGAUACUGUCGAGCUCGAGUCCGGAAGAGGAGUGUGGAAUUCCUGGUGUAGCGGUGAAAUGCGCAGAUAUCAGGAGGAACACCAAUGGCGAAGGCAGCACUCUGGGACGUGACUGACGCUGAGACGCGAAAGCGUGGGGAGCAAACAGGA